UGCCCAAGAGAUCGGGAUAACACCUGGAAACAGAUGCUAAUACCGGAUAACAACAGAUGAUGCCUAUCAACUGUUUAAAAGAUGGUUCUGCUAUCACUCUUGGAUGGACCUGCGGUGCAUUAGCUAGUUGGUAGGGUAACGGCCUACCAAGGCGAUGAUGCAUAGCCGAGUUGAGAGACUGAUCGGCCACAUUGGGACUGAGACACGGCCCAAACUCCUAAGGGAGGCAGCAGCA
rnacentral:rRNA from 1 species